CCUACGGGGGGCUGCAGUGGGGAAUAUUGGACAAUGGGGGGAACCCUGAUCCAGCCAUGCCGCGUGUGUGAAGAAGGCCCUCGGGUUGUAAAGCACUUUCAGUGAGGAAGAACGCCUGGUGGUUAAUACCCAUCAGGAAAGACAUCACUCACAGAAGAAGCACCGGCUAACUCCGUGCCAGCAGCCGCGGUAAUACGGAGGGUGCGAGCGUUAAUCGGAAUUACUGGGCGUAAAGCGCGCGUAGGUGGCUUGAUAAGCCGGUUGUGAAAGCCCCGGGCUCAACCUGGGAACGGCAUCCGGAACUGUCAAGCUAGAGUGCAGGAGAGGAAGGUAGAAUUCCCGGUGUAGCGGUGAAAUGCGUAGAGAUCGGGAGGAAUACCAGUGGCGAAGGCGGCCUUCUGGACUGACACUGACACUGGGGUGCGAAAGCGUGGGUAGCAAACAGGAUUAGAUACCCUUGUAGUC
rnacentral:rRNA from 1 species